GUACUUUCAGUCGUGAGGAAGGCGGCGUCGUUAAUAGCGGCGUUGUUUGACGUUAGCGACAGAGAAAGCACCGGCUAACUCCGUGCCAGCAGCCGCGGUAAUACGGAGGGUGCGAGCGUUAAUCGGAAUUACUGGGCGUAAAGCGCAUGCAGGUGGUUUGUUAAGUCAGAUGUGAAAGACCCGGGGCGUCAACCUCGGAAUUGCAUUUGUAAACUAGGCAGACUAGAGUACUGUAGAGGGGGGUAGGAAUUUCAGGUGUAGCGGUGAAAUAGCGUAGAGAUCUGAAGGAAUACCGGUGGCGAAGGCGGCCCCCUCGGACAGAUACUGACACUCAGAUGCGAAAGCGUGGGGAGCAAACAGGAUUAGAUACCCUGGUAG
rnacentral:rRNA from 1 species